AUAGGGUAAGCGCGGUAUUGGAUAUCCGCGUCCAAGCAGUUAGGCUGGGAAAUAGGCAAAUCCGUUUCCCAUAAGGCUGAGCUGUGAUGGCGAGCGAAAUAUAGUAGCGAAGUUCCUGAUUCCACACUGCCAAGAAAAGCCUCUAGCGAGGUGAGAGGUGCCCGUACCGCAAACCGACACAGGUAGGCGAGGAGAGAAUCCUAAGGUGAUCGAGAGAACUCUCGUUAAGGAACUCGGCAAAAUGACCCCGUAACUUCGGGAGAAGGGGUGCUCUGUUAGGGUGCAAGCCCGAGAGAGCCGCAGUGAAUAGGCCCAGGCGACUGUUUAGCAAAAACACAGGUCUCUGCGAAGCCGUAAGGCGAAGUAUAGGGGCUGACGCCUGCUCGGUGCUGGAAGGUUAAGAGGAGCGCUUAGCGUAAGCGAAGGUGCGAAUUGAAGCCCCAGUAAACGGCGG
rnacentral:rRNA from 1 species